rnacentral:rRNA from 1 species
GUGGGGAAUUUUGGACAAUGGGCGCAAGCCUGAUCCAGCCAUGCCGCGUGAGUGAAGAAGGCCUUCGGGUUGUAAAGCUCUUUCGGCCGGGAAGAAAUCGCACAGGCUAAUACCCUGUGUGGAUGACGGUACCGGAAUAAGAAGCACCGGCUAACUACGUGCCAGCAGCCGCGGUAAUACGUAGGGUGCGAGCGUUAAUCGGAAUUACUGGGCGUAAAGCGUGCGCAGGCGGUUUUGUAAGACAGGCGUGAAAUCCCCGGGCUCAACCUGGGAACUGCGCUUGUGACUGCAAGGCUAGAGUAUGGCAGAGGGGGGUGGAAUUCCACGUGUAGCAGUGAAAUGCGUAGAGAUGUGGAGGAACACCGAUGGCGAAGGCAGCCCCCUGGGCCAAUACUGACGCUCAUGCACGAAAGCGUGGGUAGCAAACAGGAUUAGAUACCCGAGUAGUCC